UCUCGAAAGCCCUGCUUCUGGGUAAAGCCCACAGCUAUCACUGGAGAGUAAAUGCUAACUGUGGGUUCUCAGGACAGCCCAUUUAAUUCCUCCUUUUGUUGGCCAGGUCCCAGCCCUCCUUCUCCUCCAGGCCCCUCCUCAAAUUCCACACCAGCUGGGGAGCUGCCCCACCCCUAAUUAUUACCCCAAGGCUGCCAAGAUGCAGGCUGUGCCACUGCGGAGGAUGGCAGCAGAGCACAGAACAUGACAACGGCAGCAGCAGGUGGGCCCGGCAGAAAAGGCCAGAUCACGGGCUCUGUGAUUACUGUCAUCCAUCUCCAGCCAGGCAGGCAGGGUGCUGUGCAGGCUUUGGAUGCUGGCGCUCUGUGCCCCCAUGCCACUGCCUUCUCUUCUCUCUGCAGAAGCAGGUACAGGCUGGGCUCUUCCUUGCAGAAAGGUUGAGAACCUCAUGUGUGACAGCACUGUAUCACAUGAUGGGGACACGAAAGUGGAGAAGACCUUAUCCUCCUCUCUGUCCUCUUCUUCUGCAAGCUCACGUGCUCAUGGGGAUACCUGUCAAGUGUGUUUUAUAAGGACUUUGC
rnacentral:lncRNA from 1 species